rnacentral:snRNA from 1 species
UAACUCUGGUUUCUCUUCAGCUUAUAUAAAUCUUUCCCCUUUUACUGAAGAUUUCCUUGGAGAGGAACAUUUACAAGUUUAGACCCAAAUUUGGUGAGCCUUCACUUUGAUGAAGCU